rnacentral:rRNA from 1 species
GACGAACGCUGGCGGCGUGCUUAACACAUGCAAGUCGAACGAAGUGGCGAACGGGUGAGUAACGCGUAAUCAACCUGCCCUUCAGAGGGGGACACAAGUGGAAAACGACUGCUAAUACCGCAUAAUGACGGAGGGGAUUGAGUCGUAUGUGCUAGUUGGAGGGGUAACGGCCCACCAAGUCGAUGCUCAGUAUCCGGUCUGGGAGGAUGAACGGCGACCGUGUGACUUAGACACGGGCCAGACUCCUACUGGAGGCAGCAGUGGGGAAUCUUCCGCAAUGGACGAAAGUCUGACGGAGCAACGCCGCGUGAGUGAUGACGGCCUUCGGGUUGGAAAGCUCUGUUAAUCGGGACGCGGUACCGGAAUAGAAAGCCACGGCUAACUACGUGCCAGCAGCCGCGGUAAUUC